rnacentral:rRNA from 1 species
GACGAACGCUGGCGGCGUGCUUAACACAUGCAAGUCGAACGGAAAGGCCCUGCUUUUGUGGGGUGCUCGAGUGGCGAACGGGUGAGUAACACGUGAGUAACCUGCCCUUGACUUUGGGAUAACUUCAGGAAACUGGGGCUAAUACCGGAUAGGAGCUCCUGCUGCAUGGUGGGGGGUGGAAAGUUUCGGCGGUUGGGGAUGGACUCGCGGCUUAUCAGCUUGUUGGUGGGGUAGUGGCUUACCAAGGCUUUGACGGGUAGCCGGCCUGAGAGGGUGACCGGCCACAUUGGGACUGAGAUACGGCCCAGACUCCUACGGGAGGCAGCAGUGGGGAAUAUUGCACAAUGGGCGGAAGCCUGAUGCAGCAACGCCGCGUGCGGGAUGACGGCCUUCGGGUUGUAAACCGCUUCCGCCUGUGACGAAGCGUGAGUGACGGUAAUGGGUAAAGAAGCACCGGCUAACUACGUG